UAAUGAUGGUGAGGACAACUACUAAGUAAAUAUUUAAACUUGUCCCAAGAUUGGUACAAAUUUUCUCCAGAUUUUUGUUUAAAGCUUAAAAUUUCAGCCCUCAACUU